GACGAACGCUGGCGGCGUGCCUAAUACAUGCAAGUAGAACGCUGACGGAGGAGCUUGCUUCUCUGGAUGAGUUGCGAACGGGUGAGUAACGCGUAGGUAACCUGCCUGGUAGCGGGGGAUAACUAUUGGAAACGAUAGCUAAUACCGCAUAAGAGUAGAUGUUGCAUGACAUUUGCUUAAAAGGUGCAAUUGCAUCACUACCAGAUGGACCUGCGUUGUAUUAGCUAGUUGGUGGGGUAACGGCUCACCAAGGCGACGAUACAUAGCCGACCUGAGAGGGUGAUCGGCCAGACUGGGACUGAGACACGGGUCAGACUCCUACGGGAGGCAGCAGUAGGGAAUCUUCGGCAAUGGACGUAAGUCUGACCGAGCAACGCCGCGUGAGUGAAGAAGGUUUUCGGAUCGUAAAGCUCUGUUGUAAGAGAAGAACGAGUGUGAGAGUGGAAAGUUCACACUGUGACGGUAUCUUACCAGAAAGGGACGGCUAACUACGUG
rnacentral:rRNA from 1 species